ACGGAAGGCAGCAGUGGGGACUAUUGGACAAUGGGCGCAAGCCUGAUCUAGCGACGCAGCGUGAGUGAAGAAGUAUUUCGGUAUGUAAAGCUCUGUCAGCAGGGAAGAUAAUGACGGUACCUGACUAAGAAGCCCCGGCUAACUACGUGCCAGCGGCCGCGGUAAUACGUAGGGGGCAAGCGUUAUCCGGAUUUACUGGGUGUAAAGGGAGCGUAGACGGCAAGGCAAGUCUGAUGUGAAAACCUAAGGCUCAACCAUGGGACUGCAUUGGAAACUGUCGAGCUAGAGUGCAGGAGAGGUAAGUGGAAUUCCUAGGGUAGCGGUGAAAUGCGUAGAUAUUAGGAGGAACACCAGUGGCGAAGGCGGCUUACUGGACUGUAACGGACGUUGAGGCUCGAAAGCGUGGGUAGCAAACAGGAUUAGAUACCCUGGUA
rnacentral:rRNA from 1 species